UCCUCCUACAAAGGCGCACUUGCAUUGGCUGGCUUGCAACUGCGUAACGACUGGAGGAACAUAAAGCUGAAUGGGGAUUUAUGUGUUGCUUGCUGCCUCAGCAAUUAACAUAUCAACUUUCAUACAAAC
rnacentral:snoRNA from 1 species